GGGGAAUAUUGGACAAUGGGCGCAAGCCUGAUCCAGCCAUACCGCGUGGGUGAAGAAGGCCUUCGGGUUGUAAAGCCCUUUUGUUGGGAAAGAAAUCCUGUCGAUUAAUACUCGGUGGGGAUGACGGUACCCAAAGAAUAAGCACCGGCUAACUUCGUGCCAGCAGCCGCGGUAAUACGAAGGGUGCAAGCGUUACUCGGAAUUACUGGGCGUAAAGCGUGCGUAGGUGGUGGUUUAAGUCUGCUGUGAAAGCCCUGGGCUCAACCUGGGAAUUGCAGUGGAUACUGGAUCACUAGAGUGUGGUAGAGGGAUGCGGAAUUUCUGGUGUAGCAGUGAAAUGCGUAGAGAUCAGAAGGAACAUCCGUGGCGAAGGCGGCAUCCUGGGCCAACACUGACACUGAGGCACGAAAGCGUGGGGAGCAAAC
rnacentral:rRNA from 1 species